UAUUGAACAACGCAAAUUAUCACAUUCACACAGGACUAGUUACCUUAUAUGCGAUUGAGAGGUUCGCUUUCUGCUAUUCUUCGGGAUGGCAAUCGUCUGGACCCACGACCAGUUUGCAUUCGUCUCUGGCUGUAAAUGGAGAACAAACCACAAAAAUGCUUGAUCUUGGGUGCGGUUCUCUUCUUCCCGUGGAGAGGGGCGCAAUGAUUGAACAUACAU
rnacentral:sRNA from 1 species